rnacentral:rRNA from 1 species
GAUGAACGCUAGCUACAGGCUUAACACAUGCAAGUCGAGGGGAAACGAUAUUGGAAGCUUGCUUCCGAUAGGCGUCGACCGGCGCACGGGUGAGUAACGCGUAUCCAACCUGCCCAUCACUUGGGGAUAACCUUGCGAAAGUAAGACUAAUACCCAAUGAUAUCUCUAGAAGACAUCUGAACGGGAUUAAAGAUUCAUCGGUGAUGGAUGGGGAUGCGUCUGAUUAGCUUGUUGGCGGGGUAACGGCCCACCAAGGCGACGAUCAGUAGGGGUUCUGAGAGGAAGGUCCCCCACAUUGGAACUGAGACACGGUCCAAACUCCUACGGGAGGCAGCAGUGAGGAAUAUUGGUCAAUGGGCGAGAGCCUGAACCAGCCAAGUAGCGUGCAGGAUGACGGCCCUAUGGGUUGUAAACUGCUUUUAUAAGGGAAUAAAGUGGGAGUCGUGACUCCUUUUGCAUGUACCUUAUGAAUAAGGACCGGCUAAUUCCGUGCCAGCCGCCGCCGUAA